ensembl:rRNA 5S_rRNA 5S ribosomal RNA
GCUUACGGCCACACCUACCUCAGCACGCCCGAUCUCGUCUGAUCUCGGAAACAAAGCAGGGUCGGGCCUGGUUAGUACUUGGAUGGGAGACCGCCCUGGGAAUACCAGGUGCUGGAAGCC